rnacentral:rRNA from 1 species
CAGCCGCCGCGGUAAUACGGAGGGUGCGAGCGUUAAUCGGAAUUACUGGGCGUAAAGGGUGCGUAGGUGGUUAAUUAAGAUAUCUGUGAAAUUCCUGGGCUUAACCUGGGCGUGUCAGAUGAUACUGAUUGACUCGAGUAUGGGAGAGGGUAGUGGAAUUUCCGGUGUAGCGGUGAAAUGCGUAGAGAUCGGAAGGAACACCAGUGGCGAAGGCGGCUACCUGGCCUAAUACUGACACUGAGGCACGAAAGCGUGGGGAGCAAACAGGAUUAGAUACCCCCGUAGUCCCUGUCUCUUAUAC